rnacentral:lncRNA from 1 species
CCACCGAGACCAGAGAUAGCGGUACCCUGAGUCGGCCCUACUUAGGGAUGCAAGAAUGAAAAUAAUCAAGUUGUAAUAAUAUUGUUAAAUUGGAUUGUAUUUGGAAGUUAAGUGAAAGCUAAUAUUGGAAUCUAAUGAGAUUUGUGAUGUAAAAAUGGAUGAAUGUGAAUGCAUGUAAUAACAUAGGAUGUGUUAUAUUGUUUGAUACCUUCCAUUAUGCAAUCCUUGAUUGAAAUGUGUUCCUGGUUGGAACUUCGCACAUUGUAUUGAUUGCUAUGCCUUGAACGUACAGCGGAGACUCUGUCCGCAGUACAGGGGAAACCCUGUCCGUUCGGCGAUCUAUCGGCGGUGCCGCGACCCGGCCAAAUAGGCAGGCAGUCGCGGGGCGUGACAGUUCCGACCUAUGGUUCGAGUCCCGAGAAUUGUGUUUUUAAGCUUGGUACCAAAAUCCAAAAAUUGGAUUCAUUGGACAGCUCUCGGGUUAGCCUGCAGCAGAGCUUGUACCGGAACAAGGUUGGUCUUGUACCGGUACAAGGAUUGAUGGUUGUACCGGUACAGCCAUCGGGCUUGUACCGGUACAGAGCCGCAGACCCCGCGACCCGAGCCUCGGGUUUGCAUUUUCGUGGGCCUUGUACCGGUACAAGAGCCCGUGUACCGGUACAAGGAGGCAGUUUUCGUGCAGAAUGAAACUGCAGGGGGUUUUUCGCAUUUGUAGCCCUCUAUUAGUAACCCCACGCCCCUAGGGCAUCCCCUGAGCUUGGAACCUGCAGGGAGAAAGGUGAGGAAGCCCUCCACACCUUUCUUUGAGAUUUCUUUGAUUUUGGUUGGGGUUUUAAGAGAUUAAACUCUCUUUUGCUUGGCUAGAGACUUCUCCCCCGUUGGUGGAGCUAGGAGCUUGGGUUUGAGGCUUGAUUGAGGAGAGCUCUUUGGACUUAGAGCAUUUAGAGCUUGGUUUGAAGCUUCUAAGAGGUAAGCAACAUGUUAUCUCCCUCUAGAUUUGAGUUUUUAUGGAUUUCUUGAGAUGAAACCCUAGAUUUGGCAUAUUGGGGCUAAAAAUGGGGACUUUUGAUUUGAGGGCUUUGAAACCAAAUUGAUGGAUUUUGAACCUUUGUUUAGGUUAGAUUGGAAGGACUCUAGCUCCCAUUUGGAGAUUGAGAGAGCUUCCUUCGCAAUCGGUGAGUUUUCUCCAACCCUAGCCCAAGAUGGUUAAUGAUUGAGCUUAGCGUUAUCCGUUUCGGUUAGGUGACACUUGUUUUCAUACCUCUAGGAUACUAGGAGGCUAGAGGACACCCUCUGUAACAUAUGAAAAUUUGGAGUUGCGAUGUCAACUUUGAUCUCGGGGAUCAAACUGAGGAUUGAGCUAGUUGGACAUCAUCCUCGAGUGAUUCGUGAUGCGUUGGAAUGAAUUUCGGAGAUAAAUAAGUAUUUCGGCGCAAAUUGGGCGCGAAACGAAAUGUAAAAAGAAUUUUCGGAUUUCCGACGCUAACUUUGAUUAAAAGAAUUAAAGUAAGGCGUAAGGAUAAAUUGUGGAAUCUCCGAAUCAAUUGUGAAGUUACGGAAAAGCCAAGGGUGUGUUUUCAAAGGGUUUUGAAGUGUUCAGUGCGAAGUGGUAGUGCAAAAAGGAGAAAUUUCUGCCGUGUAAUGAAAUUGGAGCCGAUUCUAUUGCUAAUUCGGCUCAAAUAAUGUCAAAAUGAAAAAGAAUUGCUUCCAAAUUAAAUUGGUAGCUUAUGAAGGUCCCUUGGUAUAUUUUGGAAGUAUUUGGGUGAAAUCGGAGCGAAAACGGAAAAUUUAGAAUUUUUUGUAAAGAACGGGACUGAGAAAAUUAGCAGAAAAUGCACAGUGUCAGAAAAUUAUGAAAAUUGGCAGAGAUGUCAGGAACAUUUUAAUGAGGCUAGAUUUGAAGUUUCAGAUUUUUCUGACACCUGUAGAGAGAGAAAUAGCAUUUGGAAGUUAUCUGAUAA